GUCAAUCUAAUCCCAUCCGCGCCCCGGAUAAACUCGGAAAGGUGAUAUGAUGGGCAAGUGGGAGACCGGAUCGAGUGUCUCUCUCAUGCACGAAAGCCGCAUUGGGAACUUUCAGCGUCGGACACCAAUAAUUUCUCAUGCAAAGGAUCGUGCAUGUUCCAGCUCCUGAGGGUGAAGCUGUGAGAGAUGGUUGGGCGCGAUCGUUAGCCGAAGAGGGCUUCCCCCCCCCUGGCAGCCGCGUUUCUCGCAGUCUGGCUCUGGAAGGUGGGACACCUACCUUGUCAAGGUUACAUCCAUUUACAUUCCGACUUUCCCUGUUGAAGUUCCUCGAGACACCAUCGUUGUUCCUUUGAGAUGUGGCCUCCAGUAUUGGAUCCAAAAAUACCUGAAUUGCUUCAUCCUAAGAAGUGGUGUGUUCUAUAAAGGCGUAGUACCAGUUGAAGGUUUUUGAGCAGAUACAAUUGGAUUGGGAACAGACACCUCCCACAAAGGCGUGCCUUUACUCCCCGUGUACAGGCACGUAAGAACUGGAGGUAGAUCAAAAGGAGUGAGACCCUGCAGUGAAAAUGCACCUACUACGUGGAGGCUGUACCAAGGUCUUCAGUCCUACACUUCU